AGAGUUUGAUCAUGGCUCAGAUUGAACGCUGGCGGCAGGCCUAACACAUGCAAGUCGAGCGGUAGAGAGAAGCUUGCUUCUCAUGAGAGCGGCGGACGGGUGAGUAAUGCCUAGGAAUCUGCCUGGUAGUGGGGGAUAACGUUCGGAAACGGACGCUAAUACCGCAUACGUCCUACGGGAGAAAGCAGGGGACCUUCGGGCCUUGCGCUAUCAGAUGAGCCUAGGUCGGAUUAGCUAGUUGGUGAGGUAAUGGCUCACCAAGGCGACGAUCCGUAACUGGUCUGAGAGGAUGAUCAGUCACACUGGAACUGAGACACGGUCCAGACUCCUACGGGAGGCAGCAGUGGGGAAUAUUGGACAAUGGGCGAAAGCCUGAUCCAGCCAUGCCGCGUGUGUGAAGAAGGUCUUCGGAUUGUAAAGCACUUUAAGUUGGGAGGAAGGGUUGUAGAUUAAUACUCUGCAAUUUUGACGUUACCGACAGAAUAAGCACCGGCUAACUCUGUGCCAGCAGCCGCGGUAAUACAGAGGGUGCAAGCGUUAAUCGGAAUUACUGGGCGUAAAGCACGCGUAGGUGGUUUGUUAAGUUGGAUGUGAAAUCCCCGGGCUCAACCUGGGAACUGCAUUCAAAACUGACUGACUAGAGUAUGGUAGAGGGUGGUGGAAUUUCCUGUGUAGCGGUGAAAUGCGUAGAUAUAGGAAGGAACACCAGUGGCGAAGGCGACCACCUGGACUAAUACUGACACUGAGGUGCGAAAGCGUGGGGAGCAAACAGGAUUAGAUACCCUGGUAGUCC
rnacentral:rRNA from 1 species